AAGAGAAGUGUAUCAUGAAGGAGAAAUCCCAGGUUAUAGCUGUGGCUCCGUUAAUAUCUGUAGUCUGAAGAAGCCAGCUCAACUCUCUGGAUCUUGUCAGUGAAAUGAAAGAUAUCCAUGAAAUGAGAGAGACAAAUGCUUCUGUGGAGAAACUAAUUUCAGUUUCAAGCCUCAACUUAAAACUUGCCAAGCUCCAUGUAAUAGGUGUAUCCUAAAGAAAGUUGGAAGAGGAUAUUUACUGAAGAAGGAUUCAAAAUAAAGUGAAAUCUAUUUUCUGCUGUCCAUGAAUUCUUAUGUUUCUCUGAACCAUCAAUGCUCUGUUCUCAAUUAAAU